rnacentral:lncRNA from 1 species
CCCGGCGAAAGCAACGUAUCAUUCGGAAACUUCCAGGUUGAUGCGUUUACUACAACGAUAAAUCCUUAUAAACAGACGAGUGCUGUCCCCUGAUUUAUUAUUACAUAUCGAGCGCAAAAUUAUUAACCAUGUUAACGAAUAGAACCUUUCUUCAAACGGGGUAACAUAAAUCAUUGACUUUUUCGUAGACACAUCAAUAAAAUGAAGAAGUUACUUAAAAUAUUGACACGUUCAAUGGGAUUUAUAAGGUUUACUAACAGUACCAGGAUAUAAAAAAAAGGGGGAGGGCCGGUUGGUAGGUCAACUUGGAGUAAUACUUUGAAAAAGUAUAUUAACUUAUCAUACAUGCAUGUAUGAAGUUCAAUCAGUAGGCCCCUUUUCCAUAUACAUACAUACUCCUCUGAUUAUAUAAGUGUUGUACUGCAUAAAUCCAUGAUUUGAAAAAUAUCAGGACGAUGUCAGAAGAUCUCAGAAAUACAACCCGAUAGUUUGGGACAAUCAUUUGAUAUUUUCAAUGGGCGGAAGGAUAGGAGGAUAAUCUGAUAUUGAAACAAUACAUGCACUAACUGUUCAAAGACAUUUUUGUUUGAUAUUUAAUUUAUAUGAAGGAUAUCUUGGUGUGGCGUAGGUAUGAAGUUAGGGGACAGCACUCGUCUGUUUAUAAGGAUUUAUCGUUGUAGUAAACGCAUCAACCCGGAAGUUUCCGAAUGAUACGUUGCUUUCGCCGGGAAAUUUGAAUUUUCUGACACGAAUGCAACUGAAACUGCGUAAGGGUUCUGUUAAUCCACAAAUCAAAAUAUGCAUGUGAUAGAAGAAUAAUUUCGGAAGAAAAUGAGGGCU